AGUUUUUCAGGGUGAAAAAGUCGGUAUGGGUAUGAAUUACAAGAAAUUAGCUGAAUAAAAAAGGAUGUUGAGCCCUGAUAGCAGUUUAGAGAGUAACACAAAGGGCAAGGGCUCUAUACAUGUAAAUGUCCUUGGUAUCACGUGUCACUCAUUGUGUUCACAUGGUUAGCAGAGUCGUCCAACCACCUAAUUUCGGACAAGGACAUAGAGGGCACAAUGAAAGACACAGUUAAGACGACUCCCUGAGACUUUAAGGUGUUUGCAGACUUAAGAUAACUUACUUCCAUACUGAGGCAGACGAGAACUUGGAUCAUGGUUUUGUCUCGGAUACGCCGGAUGAUGUUUCUGCGACAAGUCGUACUGGUCUGCAUGGUCGUGUCGAUGUUCCUCAACUUUUGGAUGUUAACAGGUACGGAACUUCAGAACGUGACGUCACACAUUGACCUUGGGAAAGCCGUCCAGACUUGUGAACCGUGCCAGAGAGAAAUGCUGUCAGCCUCCAUGAACGAGACACUCCGCGGACACAGACGCAGAAUGGAACGGCGCAUA